UACGUAGGGUGCAAGCGUUAAUCGGAAUUACUGGGCGUAAAGCGUGCGCAGGCGGUGAUGUAAGACAGAUGUGAAAUCCCCGGGCUCAACCUGGGAACUGCAUUUGUGACUGCAUCGCUAGAGUACGGCAGAGGGGGAUGGAAUUCCGCGUGUAGCAGUGAAAUGCGUAGAUAUCAGGAGGAACACCGAUGGCGAAGGCAGGUCUCUGGGCUGACACUGACGCUCAUGCACGAAAGUGUGGGGAGCAAACAGG
rnacentral:rRNA from 1 species